rnacentral:rRNA from 1 species
GAUGAACGCUGGCGGCGUGCCUAAUACAUGCAAGUCGAGCGAACGGACGAGAAGCUUGCUUCUCUGAUGUUAGCGGCGGACGGGUGAGUAACACGUGGAUAACCUACCUAUAAGACUGGGAUAACUUCGGGAAACCGGAGCUAAUACCGGAUAAUAUUUUGAACCGCAUGGUUCAAAAGUGAAAGACGGUCUUGCUGUCACUUAUAGAUGGAUCCGCGCUGCAUUAGCUAGUUGGUAAGGUAACGGCUUACCAAGGCAACGAUGCAUAGCCGACCUGAGAGGGUGAUCGGCCACACUGGAACUGAGACACGGUCCAGACUCCUACGGGAGGCAGCAGUAGGGAAUCUUCCGCAAUGGGCGAAAGCCUGACGGAGCAACGCCGCGUGAGUGAUGAAGGUCUUCGGAUCGUAAAACUCUGUUAUUAGGGAAGAACAUAUGUGUAAGUAACUGUGCACAUCUUGACGGUACCUAAUCAGGAAGCCACGGCUAACUACGUGCCAGCAGCCGCGGUAAUACGUAGGUGGCAAGCGUUAUCCGGAAUUAUUGGGCGUAAAGCGCGCGUAGGCGGUUUUUUAAGUCUGAUGUGAAAGCCCACGGCUCAACCGUGGAGGGUCAUUGGAAACUGGAAAACUUGAGUGCAGAAGAGGAAAGUGGAAUUCCAUGUGUAGCGGUGAAAUGCGCAGAGAUAUGGAGGAACACCAGUGGCGAAGGCGACUUUCUGGUCUGUAACUGACGCUGAUGUGCGAAAGCGUGGGGAUCAAACAGGAUUAGAUACCCUGGUAGUCCACGCCGUAAACGAUGAGUGCUAAGUGUUAGGGGGUUUCCGCCCCUUAGUGCUGCAGCUAACGCAUUAAGCACUCCGCCUGGGGAGUACGACCGCAAGGUUGAAACUCAAAGGAAUUGACGGGGACCCGCACAAGCGGUGGAGCAUGUGGUUUAAUUCGAAGCAACGCGAAGAACCUUACCAAAUCUUGACAUCCUUUGACAACUCUAGAGAUAGAGCCUUCCCCUUCGGGGGACAAAGUGACAGGUGGUGCAUGGUUGUCGUCAGCUCGUGUCGUGAGAUGUUGGGUUAAGUCCCGCAACGAGCGCAACCCUUAAGCUUAGUUGCCAUCAUUAAGUUGGGCACUCUAAGUUGACUGCCGGUGACAAACCGGAGGAAGGUGGGGAUGACGUCAAAUCAUCAUGCCCCUUAUGAUUUGGGCUACACACGUGCUACAAUGGACAAUACAAAGGGCAGCGAAACCGCGAGGUCAAGCAAAUCCCAUAAAGUUGUUCUCAGUUCGGAUUGUAGUCUGCAACUCGACUACAUGAAGCUGGAAUCGCUAGUAAUCGUAGAUCAGCAUGCUACGGUGAAUACGUUCCCGGGUCU